GGGGAAUAUUGCACAAUGGGCGCAAGCCUGAUGCAGCAACGCCGCGUGAGGGAUGACGGCCUUCGGGUUGUAAACCUCUUUUAGCAGGGAAGAAGCGAAAGUGACGGUACCUGCAGAAAAAGCGCCGGCUAACUACGUGCCAGCAGCCGCGGUAAUACGUAGGGCGCAAGCGUUAUCCGGAAUUAUUGGGCGUAAAGAGCUCGUAGGCGGUUUGUCGCGUCUGCUGUGAAAUCCGGAGGCUCAACCUCCGGCCUGCAGUGGGUACGGGCAGACUAGAGUGCGGUAGGGGAGAUUGGAAUUCCUGGUGUAGCGGUGGAAUGCGCAGAUAUCAGGAGGAACACCGAUGGCGAAGGCAGAUCUCUGGGCCGUAACUGACGCUGAGGAGCGAAAGGGUGGGGAGCAAACAGGCUUAGAUACCCUGGUAGUCCACCCCGUAAACGUUGGGAACUAGUUGUGGGGUCCAUUCCACG
rnacentral:rRNA from 1 species